GCAGCUUUAUUUUGGCUGUCUGUAACAGGCCAUUGUUUAUAGAGGACUCUGUACUGGUGCUGUGAGUGACCACACAAAGCAUUCUAGGUCUUUUGCUUCCUCCCCUCUUCUCUUUCUGUCUCAUGGUGUUUUAUCUUUCUACAUGACAAGGCCAGCCCUGGCUAAGAUGUAUGUAAAUUCUGUUUAUACAUAAAACCACAUGAUGGCUGAAGGCCUACCACCCAUUUUCCAUCUCUUGGGUUGAAGACCUUGCUAAAUAUCACAUUCAGCAUUAUUCAUCACAUAUGGUCUUUGAAAAACUGAAGGACCACAUGUUGAUCCCUAUAGCAAACACGGAAUUAGAAAAAGUAGAUGGGUCACUCACUUGUUGCUCUGUCCUUAUUAAUAAAACUUCACAAUUAUGAGUUUGCAGACUCCAUCCCUUGUAACUGGCACUAAGAUACAUACAAGGUGGAUGAAUCUGUAUCCACUGUUAUUGUUUUUUCUUGACAAUCUACUGUACCACUGUGCUACUAACCUUUGUUUACAAUGGUGCCCCUUCAAAUGGUAAUUAAGGUGCACAUGUAUGCUUUUUUUCCUCCUGGUGUAAAAUGGACUUUGCAGCAUGUUUGUCUGGGCUUCUAGAGCCUUUAGGAUGAUUCUUGGCUUAUCUAGUUGGUGUGAAGCUGGUCUAGAAAAUAAAAGUAGAGGCCACUUCUAACAUUACUUUUGAAUGAGACAAAUAUUAAAACUCUUGUCUACCACAGAGGUUGACAACUGUGCCCCCCCCCCAAUGUUGUUGGACUUUAACACCCAUUAGCACUAGGAGGAGAAUGCUGGGAGUUGCAGUACAGCAACAGCUGGAGGGCCGUAGUUGCUCAUCCAUGGUUUACAGUGAUUAGAUUCAUUCCCGCCCCGUCUCCCCAACACUUUGCUUUUUUGCACAUUUCAUUCCGAAGAAAACCCUUAGGCCCAGGGUUUCCAAUGUAUGGUGAAGCAUGUAGUUCCCCUCACGGCUAUAUGGUCAGUUACCACAGAAAGUGUAACUGUUUAUUGAGCCCUCUCCUACAAACCAACUUUGUGAAGGUGUUUUGUGCCCAACAGAAUGGUGAUAGAUUCUUUUCCUGUAACGCAAGUGUUUAGGGCUAAAGUUAUGUCUCUUGGUCUUGCUCCUUAUGACAAUCACAGAAAUGUUAUAAUGCUUCCAUUAGGGCUUUACCCACUCCUUUUUCACUGCUCUGUUUCCUUUCUUUGUCUGGACAAAAACAGCUGAGUGUUUUUCUUAAGAAACAAAAGCAACAACAGCCAUGGGAAGUUUCACAUUCGAGGAGACUGGAUGACAGGAGAAAGAGCUUCUUAAUUCUUCCUCCCCAACUUCCGUCCAUAAUUGCUCACGAAGCAGCAAAAGUCACUAUCUUUUCUCACGUGAAUGGAAAAAGUAGCCUGGGGAAGGUUUGCAUGAGACUAGAAGGAGAAAGGUUAAGCACCCCCCUUCCCAGUUAUUUUUCUUUUCACGCAAGAAAUGUUCCAUUUCCAUUUAUUUAAAAAAGUGGGGGAGAGAGAAGAAAUUAUAUGUGCCUCUAAUUACCCUUCAACCCUCAGCUACAGAUGGGAGGAAAAGAGAUCCUUUAACAGGGGACAACUAUGUAUUGAGGUGCAGUAUGCCCUCAGAAGAGACAAUUACAGUUAUGUGAUCUCAAGUCAUUUUUUCCUCUUGACUUAGGGAAUGAUCAUAACAAAGGUGACAUGCCUGCAUUAGAUUGGUUACCUUUGUUCUUCUUUGAAUCCAUUUAUUGGGAAUAAAAUCUCCAUAGAACAUUUUCAUACAUUAGUCUUACAUCAGUUCUUGCUUCCUUCAGUCUAUAAGAUGAAUGUGAAUUCUUCAAAGAGCAGAAAAUCUAUUCACAUUGCAAAUGCCUCUAUUCUACCUUCUCUUCCAUAUUAACAGCAAUUAAAACAGUCACAUAAAUAGAAUCAAGGAAGCUCAAAGGACCAUUUUAAUUCAUGAAAAUGAUAGCAGAUAAGCCUGAAUAGCUGAUAUUGACUCUAGAAAUGUGUUAUUAAAGAGUAAUGCAGGAAUCAGCCACAAUCUUAAUAAUUUCUGCCUCCUUUUCAUUACCUUUCUCUUUUGUUCUGUGCCCUCUUUUAUUUUUUCUUCUUCUUCUGCAUACUUCUUCCUUUCCUCAUUUGUUUUCUACCGUUCUUCUCUUGCUCUCUCCAAGUGAUGCAUGUUAUAAGUAACUAAAAAGGAAAUUCAGUAGCAUCAUCAGUCUAGGCUUCUGUGCCUCCUUUUCCAAAGUACCAGGUGCAGUAUAAGAUUUAUUGUGUUCAUUUCUCUACAAUAUCAUGUUGCUCCUUGUGCCUUGGAAGGUGCAUUUGAAGAGAAUCAUGAGUACAAUCUAUUGCAAAUUGCAGAUGAGACUAAGAAGAAAGGUGUUACUGCAGUGGAGGAUUCAAAGAGGAUUUUAUUCUGGUAGUCUUGAAUUACCGCUAGGCUUAAACCAGUUGUACUUUUGUUCUAGAAACUGACCUGGGCUUUUUAAAAACCUUUUUUUAUUCAAUAGAAACUCAAGCCUUUUUAUGUCCACUGUAUUUUAAGAAUCCAUGUGAAUAUGUAAAUCUCAGAAAUAAUAUUCUGAGAUGCAUAAUGCUGGCCUUAACAAAUGGUGUUAACACUUUUCUUUUGUAUUGAACUAUGCCUAUUAUACUUGCUAUUAUGAUAUUUUUGUUAGGAGAACAAAUUGGAUUUGAUCAGCAGAGCUCUUGAUUUCAUUUAUUUUGAGAGCCAAUAUAGAGCUGAAUUCUGAAAGAAGUGAUAACAAAAAUGAUGGUGGAAUGGUUAGCUGUUUUUUCAUGUUGUGUAUUGUUCUUAAUAAGUGAGACAGUUGUCUUCCAACAGGCUGCAAUGACUAUUCUAGCUAAGCAUUUGGAUUCUUGCACUUACGAUAAUAUAUAUAUUGGGUGCUUUUUAAAAACUUUUAAAUGCCUGAAUGUUUAAUUCCAUUCGAAAAAGAAAUAUUUGUUCUGGCAAAUUUUGCAGGACACGUAAGGCCUUAGUCAUAUGUUUUUCACCAUACACAUGAAAAGAAUUGAAAUGUCAUGAAACUUGUAAUGUCUUUUCAAAGAAUGCAGAUGUCUAAUGUAGCAUUAUGAAUUCUCCAAGAGCUGACAUGUGGCUUGAGAAUUGUAUCGGUUUCCCAGUUAAGUCAACCAUUUUUGGUACUACUGCUGGCAAUUGAGGUGCAAUUUUCAAGAAAUUCAACUGGCCAAGUAAAUAGGAAAGGAAUGUACAGCUGAAACUAUUUCAUGUAACCAUGACCAGAUUCAAAAAUGUAUGCUGGAAAAUAUCUAUAUCAUCUGGUUGCCUUUUAUUAAUUAUUGUUAAAAGCAUUCUGAUUAAUGACUCCUCUGUCUCUUCUCCCAUUUAAUAACAUUUCUCAGAAGGUGAGAGGAGUCUUUCCUGUCAAAUGUUGUCGUUCACCAAGUCUUAAGGGUGGAUGAGUGUAUAUGAAUUAAUGUGCUAAAACAGAAGUAGUCACAUUAGAGGCAGAUUUCUUAAGGGAAAAUAUCAAUACAUUUGGGAUUUAGUAUGAAAGAGCAUGUUUUAUCUCAUCAAAGGUGAGUCAGUUUAUAAGAGCAAAUAUCAAUGGAAGAAUUGCCACAAUUUUGUAAUUGUUUUUCCUUCAGAAUAAUAAUUAUGAUGUUUGUGUAAACAUAUUCCUAAACUAUCCAGCAAGUCCUCAUCUUUCUCCAGCUGAAGCAGGAGAUGCAAACACACUCCAGAAUGCAGAGUUCUGCUUUGCUGUUGCUUUUUUAAUCAUUGCUAAAUCAGUUUAAGUUGACCCUUUGGCAUGGAACUGAAGUCCGAAAAUUUCUGUGAACAGUCCAUGUUUGAUGCUUCCUACUGUCCAUCUACAAACCUAUGCUGUCAGUUCCUUUUGCAAUAUAGCAUGUACAUAUCUUUCUAAUCGGAGUCUUAUAGAUUGUAUCUGUUGUCUCCCACUGUAUUAUCAUUGUGGCACCUCCAGACAGAGAGGGAAAAAAUUGGCAUGCUUUCUGUUUUAAGAUCAGUGUGUUUUCAGGGAUGUUAUAGUCACCUAGAUUAUUUUUGUGAUAUGCUGAACUGUGAAUUUCUUGUUAAGGGCUUUUUACAUUGCAAUUUCAGUGCAUAUCUAUUGAGAAGUAAGUCCCAUUGAAUUUAAUAGAUCCUGCUUCCAAGUCCACGUGUAAAGGAUUGCAGCAAUAGUCAGGUAGCUUCAUUAAUUAUGUUAUUUAUUCAUGGAUUCUUAUACUGUUCUUCAAAAUCUGUUUCCAGGGUAGCUUACAGAUAAAAAGGGUUUCAAUAUCAAUGUAUGACACUUUCGAAGGUUGCCAGCUUUUCUGAUUUUCAUUAUGGUGGUCCAGAAAAUAACUGCCAUGUUCUGAAUCAAGAACCUUCUAUCACACAGGGAUUCUCUGAAUUUGAAGGAUGCAAAUAGUCUUUGAAAAAAGGAACACAUUAUAUAUAUUUUUCUGAUGGGUACGUCUCCCUUCUCAUUGUUGCCUUGAGCGUUCCCCCAGCAUAGGUAAGGCAUGGGCUUCACUCCUUAAAAUCAAUUUACAAUUCAAAUUUAAAGAGUACAAAGGUUCCCUCUCCAAGGUUUAGACUGGAUUCUACUGCCAGUACAAAGCUGCUGUCAAAGUCUCUUCUGUGAUAUCUAGAAAGCUAUGAUGCAACAUCAUCCCAAUAAGUAUCCCUAUGCUAUGGGGAAAGGAAGAAUUGGUCUAGGGACAGGAGACAGCUUUUUUCAAGUGCCCUACAGCUACAUAAUUUUUGCUUUAUGCGCUGACACAACAAAUAAUUGGUUUAAACCUGUAUCUGGAACUGAAGCUGGCAGCCAGCCAUACUGUUGAAUGAAACAGCAUAGCCUUUCCUAGACAUUAUUAGUCUGAGCUGCCCAUUAAAUACAAUAACCUUGCAUUUUGAAGACUACAGUGUAAUUGAGAGUAGUUCGACCUAGUCUUCUCUUCUGGCACAGUGUCUAAAAUGCUUCAAUAUGCAGAAAUAUAUUUAGUGGGGGGGCAUUAACAAAAUGCAACAUCCCCUUUAGAAUUGCAGCCUGAAGUAGUUAAGGCUCUGUGAAAAAAAAUCACCACUUGAUCUCACUGGUAGUAUAAACUGGCCCUAAAUCUACUGGCAUUUAAAAUGGAUUUUCACACUAUGCUUUUUCUUGUUCAAGUAUUAUGACCUGUCUUGAAUGAAAAAGUGGCAAACCUCCUGCUGCUGUAUCCUUUAAUCGGUUCUGCCCCUACUUUUCCCCUGUCAUUGUCUAUGAUUUGUCCAGAAAUUAAGACUUUUUGUUCUGAACUUCUGAACACCCAGAACUUGGUUGUAAAGUUGGAAAACCUUGUUAGGCUGUCCUAUUCCAGCCUUAGCUGUAUGGGUUGUUUUCAUUCUUUUCAUGGCUGGGUAAAGUGAUGCAAUAUGUGGGUUUCUUUGUUGGACAAAAUGUGAUCAGUGUCAGCUAAGGCCCCUUUCCUUGUGUGAAUGAAAAGUUUGUACACAUGUUGUACCUUAUAUCGCUCCACUUGGCAUCUGUCCAUUCCCACCCACACCACAAAGUAUACACUCAGUUAAAUAUUUCGCAAAUGCUGUGCUUUCGAAGUACAGUGCAGACUUUUAAGGACAUAUGGAACACAGCAGUCCCUGUGAGAUGGGAUCGAAGUUCAUGUGGAACAUCAUGUUCAGUUUGGUACAGGACUGUCAAAAUUACCCCAUCUGCUCCUUUAUUGACAGAAAUACCUACAUUUAAUUUAAAUAUAAACAGAGAAGAAUUAAUCAGAGUAAUCCUCAUAUGGUUCAUAAGAACUGGUAUACACCCACCAGGAGAGAUUGGGAGGGCUUUUUAAAGCAUCCUCCUCUCCUCCCUGUCCCCUGCAUUUGUAAGUAACUGUGAACAAAAUAUCAAGAGACCUUACUUGAACUCCUAGUGGAUGUCUGAUGGUGUAACUUGUAUGAAGUCACAUGUGGAUCAUGGGCAAUGUGUUGCUCAGCAGAACAAAACAUGACUUAGUAAAUCACCACAGUAUUACAGUAGAACCUGUUACCUUUGAGAGACCCUUAUUAAAUGAGAGUAUAUUGUUGCCCACUUUUUUGUGUGCCAAGACAGUAAGUGCAUUCCAUAGUCUGUUAACACUGGAAAAAAGUUGUUCUGUUUUUUGUUUUGUCUUUUGCAGUUUCAGUCCUGUUAUGUACACCUGUCACUAUAGAAUAAAGUAUCAUUAUACCUUU